GUCAUCAGAGAUCCACUCGCUGGACCAGAAGCUGCAGGCGAGGGUGACCUGGGAUCCCACCGUGCCAUGGACCUCCCGGUGUGUGUAAACGUGGAUGGCCCAGGUUGGAGCCAGCACUGCAGGGAGACAAAGCCGAAGAGCACAUGUCUGAAUUCCAG